AGUGGCUUCAAAGUGGCUCUCCCUCAACCUGCGGAGUUCGCCUUCCAUCUUCUUCGACCUUUUCGUCAAAUGAAGAACCUCCUUCUUCAGGUGCUGGAUCGUGGACUUCAGCGGAAUCCCCUGAGGCAAGGGAAGCACUUCGGCAGGGCGCUGCCAUCGGGAGGUCAACGCGUUAAGACGUAGCUCAUUACAAAGAAGAAGAAAAAAAGAAAGAAAAAGAAGAGAAGAAAAGUCCCCCACA
rnacentral:lncRNA from 1 species